rnacentral:rRNA from 1 species
UACGAAGGGGGGCUAGCGUUGCUCGGAAUUACUGGGCGUAAAGCGCACGUAGGCGGCUUUCUAAGUCGGGGGUGAAAUCCUGGAGCUCAACUCCAGAACUGCCUUCGAUACUGGAGAGCUCGAGUCCGGGAGAGGUGAGUGGAACUGCGAGUGUAGAGGUGAAAUUCGUAGAUAUUCGCAAGAACACCAGUGGCGAAGGCGGCUCACUGGCUCGUAUCUGACGCUCAGGCGCGACAGCGUGGGGAUCAAACAGG